GUUGAACGCUAGCUACAGGCCUAACACAUGCAAGUCGAGGGACGGGCGCACGGGUGAGUAACACGUAUCCAACCUGCCCUUUACUCGGGGAUAGCCUUUCGAAGGAAAGAUUAAUACCCGAUAUAAAGGAUGGGGAUGCGUUGCAUUAGGUUGUUGGUGAGGUAACGGCUCACCAAGCCUUCGAUGGAUAGGGGUUCGGAGAGGAAGGCCCCCGACAUUGGAACUGAGGCACGGUCCAAACUCGGACGCAGGGCAGGAGUGAGUAAUAUUAGGCAAGCAACGCUAACAUGACCCAGCCAAGUAGCGUGAAGAAUGAAGGCUUAUGAGUCGUAUUCUACUUGUAUAUAAGAAUAUGUAUUAUAUGAAUAAGCAUCGGCUAACUCCGUGCCAGCAGCCGCGGUAAUUC
rnacentral:rRNA from 1 species